GGACUACAAGGGUUUCUAAUCCUGUUUGCUCCCCACGCUUUCGCACCUCAGCGUCAGUACCGGGCCAGUGAGCCGCCUUCGCCACUGGUGUUCUUCCGAAUAUCUACGAAUUUCACCUCUACACUCGGAGUUCCACUCACCUCUCCCGGACUCGAGAUCCCCAGUAUCAAAGGCAGUUCUGGAGUUGAGCUCCAGGAUUUCACCCCUGACUUAGAGACCCGCCUACGUGCGCUUUACGCCCAGUGAUUCCGAGCAACGCUAGCCCCCUUCGUAUUACCGCGGCUGCUGGCAC
rnacentral:rRNA from 1 species